rnacentral:siRNA from 1 species
UGCUCAACAAGAUGGAAGCUGCGA